UUAAGCGACUAAGCGUACACGGUGGAUGCCCUGGCAGUCAGAGGCGAUGAAGGACGUGCUAAUCUGCGAAAAGCGCCGGCGAGGUGAUAUGAACCCUUGACCCGGCGAUGUCCGAAUGGGGAAACCCAGUGCAAUCCGUUGCACUAUCGUUAACUGAAUACAUAGGUUAACGAGGCGAACCGGGGGAACUGAAACAUCUAAGUACCCCGAGGAAAAGAAAUCAACCGAGAUUCCCCCAGUAGCGGCGAGCGAACGGGGAGCAGCCCGGAGUCUGAAUCAGCUUGUGUGUUAGUGGAACGGUCUGGAAAGUCCGACGGUACAGGGUGAUAGUCCCGUACACGAAAGCACACUUGCUGUGAACUCGAAGAGUAGGGCGGGACACGUGGUAUCCUGUCUGAAUAUGGGGGGACCAUCCUCCAAGGCUAAAUACUCCUGACUGACCGAUAGUGAACCAGUACCGUGAGGGAAAGGCGAAAAGAACCCCGGCGAGGGGAGUGAAAAAGAACCUGAAACCGUGUACGUACAAGCAGUGGGAGCCUCUUUAUGGGGUGACUGCGUACCUUUUGUAUAAUGGGUCAGCGACUUAUAUUCUGUAGCAAGGUUAACCGUAUAGGGGAGCCGAAGGGAAACCGAGUCUUAACUGGGCGUUAAGUUGCAGGGUAUAGACCCGAAACCCGGUGAUCUAGCCAUGGGCAGGUUGAAGGUUGGGUAACACUAACUGGAGGACCGAACCGACUAAUGUUGAAAAAUUAGCGGAUGACCUGUGGCUGGGGGUGAAAGGCCAAUCAAACCGGGAGAUAGCUGGUUCUCCCCGAAAGCUAUUUAGGUAGCGCCUCGUGAACUCAUCUUCGGGGGUAGAGCACUGUUUCGGCUAGGGGGCCAUCCCGGCUUACCAACCCGAUGCAAACUACGAAUACCGAAGAAUGUUAUCACGGGAGACACACGGCGGGUGCUAACGUCCGUCGUGAAGAGGGAAACAACCCAGACCGCCAGCUAAGGUCCCAAAGUCAUGGUUAAGUGGGAAACGAUGUGGGAAGGCACAGACAGCCAGGAUGUUGGCUUAGAAGCAGCCAUCAUUUAAAGAAAGCGUAAUAGCUCACUGGUCGAGUCGGCCUGCGCGGAAGAUGUAACGGGGCUAAACCAUGCACCGAAGCUGCGGCAGCGACGCUUAUGCGUUGUUGGGUAGGGGAGCGUUCUGUAAGCCGUUGAAGGUGUGCUGUGAGGCAUGCUGGAGGUAUCAGAAGUGCGAAUGCUGACAUAAGUAACGAUAAAGCGGGUGAAAAGCCCGCUCGCCGGAAGACCAAGGGUUCCUGUCCAACGUUAAUCGGGGCAGGGUGAGUCGACCCCUAAGGCGAGGCCGAAAGGCGUAGUCGAUGGGAAACAGGUUAAUAUUCCUGUACUUGGUGUUACUGCGAAGGGGGGACGGAGAAGGCUAUGUCAGCCGGGCGACGGUUGUCCCGGUUUAAGCAUGUAGGCGGAGGUUCCAGGUAAAUCCGGUACCUUAUUAACGCUGAGGUGUGAUGACGAGGCACUACGGUGCUGAAGUGAUAAAUGCCCUGCUUCCAGGAAAAGCCUCUAAGCAUCAGGUAACACGAAAUCGUACCCCAAACCGACACAGGUGGUCAGGUAGAGAAUACCAAGGCGCUUGAGAGAACUCGGGUGAAGGAACUAGGCAAAAUGGUGCCGUAACUUCGGGAGAAGGCACGCUGAUGUGUAGGUGAAGUCCCUGCGGAUGGAGCUGAAAUCAGUCGAAGAUACCAGCUGGCUGCAACUGUUUAUUAAAAACACAGCACUGUGCAAACACGAAAGUGGACGUAUACGGUGUGACGCCUGCCCGGUGCCGGAAGGUUAAUUGAUGGGGUUAGCGGCAACGCGAAGCUCUUGAUCGAAGCCCCGGUAAACGGCGGCCGUAACUAUAACGGUCCUAAGGUAGCGAAAUUCCUUGUCGGGUAAGUUCCGACCUGCACGAAUGGCGUAAUGAUGGCCAGGCUGUCUCCACCCGAGACUCAGUGAAAUUGAACUCGCUGUGAAGAUGCAGUGUACCCGCGGCAAGACGGAAAGACCCCGUGAACCUUUACUAUAGCUUGACACUGAACACUGGUCCUUGAUGUGUAGGAUAGGUGGGAGGCUUUGAAGCGUGGACGCCAGUCUGCGUGGAGCCAACCUUGAAAUACCACCCUUUAAUGGCUGGUGUUCUAACGUAGACCCGUAAUCCGGGUUGCGGACAGUGUCUGGUGGGUAGUUUGACUGGGGCGGUCUCCUCCCAAAGAGUAACGGAGGAGCACGAAGGUUGGCUAAUCCUGGUCGGACAUCAGGAGGUUAGUGCAAUGGCAUAAGCCAGCUUGACUGCGAGCGUGACGGCGCGAGCAGGUGCGAAAGCAGGUCAUAGUGAUCCGGUGGUUCUGAAUGGAAGGGCCAUCGCUCAACGGAUAAAAGGUACUCCGGGGAUAACAGGCUGAUACCGCCCAAGAGUUCAUAUCGACGGCGGUGUUUGGCACCUCGAUGUCGGCUCAUCACAUCCUGGGGCUGAAGUAGGUCCCAAGGGUAUGGCUGUUCGCCAUUUAAAGUGGUACGCGAGCUGGGUUUAGAACGUCGUGAGACAGUUCGGUCCCUAUCUGCCGUGGGCGCUGGAGAAUUGAGGGGGGCUGCUCCUAGUACGAGAGGACCGGAGUGGACGCAUCACUGGUGUUCGGGUUGUCAUGCCAAUGGCACUGCCCGGUAGCUAAAUGCGGAAGAGAUAAGUGCUGAAAGCAUCUAAGCACGAAACUUGCCCCGAGAUGAGUUCUCCCUGAGACUUUAAGUCUCCUGAAGGAACGUUGAAGACGACGACGUUGAUAGGUCGGGUGUGUAAGCGCAGCGAUGCGUUGAGCUAACCGAUACUAAUGAACCGUGAGGCUUAACCUU
rnacentral:rRNA from 1 species